rnacentral:rRNA from 1 species
CAGGGAUUGCCCUAGUAACGGCGAGUGAAGCGGCAACAGCUCAAAUUUGAAAUCUGGCUUCGGCCCGAGUUGUAAUUUGCAGAGGAAGCUUUAGGCGCGGCACCUUCUGAGUCCCCUGGAACGGGGCGCCAUAGAGGGUGAGAGCCCCGUAUAGUUGGAUGCCUAGCCUGUGUAAAGCUCCUUCGACGAGUCGAGUAGUUUGGGAAUGCUGCUCAAAAUGGGAGGUAAAUUUCUUCUAAAGCUAAAUACCGGCCAGAGACCGAUAGCGCACAAGUAGAGUGAUCGAAAGAUGAAAAGCACUUUGAAAAGAGGGUUAAAUAGCACGUGAAAUUGUUGAAAGGGAAGCGCUUGUGACCAGACUUGCGCCGGGCGGAUCAUCCGGUGUUCUCACCGGUGCACUCCGCCCGGCUCAGGCCAGCAUCGGUUCUCGCGGGGGGAUAAAGGCCCUGGGAACGUAGCUCCUCCGGGAGUGUUAUAGCCCGGGGCGUAAUGCCCUCGCGGGGACCGAGGUUCGCGCAUCUGCAAGGAUGCUGGCGUAAUGGUCAUCAGCGACCCGUCUUGAAACACGGACCAAGGAGUCAAGGUUUUGCGCGAGUGUUUGGGUGUAAAACCCGCACGCGUAAUGAAAGUGAACGUAGGUGAGAGCUUCGGCGCAUCAUCGACCGAUCCUGAUGUUUUCGGAUGGAUUUGAGUAGGAGCGUUAAGCCUUGGACCCGAAAGAUGGUGAACUAUGCUUGGAUAGGGUGAAGCCAGAGGAAACUCUGGUGGAGGCUCGCAGCGGUUCUGACGUGCAAAUCGAUCGUCAAAUCUGAGCAUGGGGGCGAAAGACUAAU